rnacentral:misc_RNA from 1 species
UCCCGCUUAUGGCGGGCAGUUGCGUAUGACAUGUAAAACAUACGCCGAGGGUUGCGCUCGUUGCGGGACUUAACCCAACAUCUCACGACACGAGCUGACGACAGCCAUGCAGCACCUGUGCUCGCUCCCUUGCGGGUCGGGCAGGUUUCCCUUUCCUACCACGAGCAUGUCAAACCCAGGUAAGGUUCUUCGCGUCGCAUCGAAUUAAACCACACGCUCCGCUGCUUGUGCGGGUCCCCGUCAAUUCCUUUGAGUUUUAGCCUUGCGGCCGUACUCCCCAGGCGGUGUGCUUAUCGCGUUGGCUGAGGCACGCAUGGUUUUACCCACACACACCGAGCACACAUCGUUUACGGCGUGGACUAC